GCCAAUAGAGGGUGAGAGAGACCCGACUCGAAGGCGGACAAGAAGAACGCCGACCCCCGCCUCACCCAGAUGGUGGCGAACAGGGCUGGAGACGGAUCGCGCGGUUCUGUGCAUUCAUUCCGUCCUCUCGACGGCGAUGCGAAUUCUUUGGCUACUUAAAGAUUGUAUCCCUUCGGAGAUAAUGGUUGUCUUUAGGUCUUGCCUUCUGUAAUCGCUGCUUCGAUCGCGCUUGUUGGGUGAUUCACCAUCGAUCCAAGAAGUCAUCCUGGGAGGAAUAGCAAUUGCAAGAAAGAUAUGGAGGAACAACAUCACCGCCUACCAAAAGAAGAAAAGAAAUUGCCAUCAUCGUCGCCUCUCUCCUCUAAUUCUUCUUCAUGAAUCGAGGACGACAUCCAAGGAGCGUUGGGAAAUCAGUCACCCAAGAAAAGUCGAGGCCAGUUUGCCAGACCUUGCGGGCAUCAUUGUCGAGACUACAUCCAAGGUUGAUGAUCCGCAAACGUGUACUCAUUACGCGACUGAUAUCUAUGAUUACCUCAGAUCAUUGGAGGAAGUUCAUUCUAUGUGGUCAAGAAGAUUGCGAAUUUUCAAGCCAGCUGUUAGAGUUUCUAGGUAGCAACCUCGGUGAGUUGAGUUUGAUAGACUAUGAUUUGCAGCUGAACGAGAAAGCAAUCCGAUGGAAGACUACCAGAAUACAAUACAAGCAGCCUCAGGUACAUGUCUUUCAAGCAAAAAAUACUUCUAUGUGAUGGAUACAUGUACAACAAUCUUGAUCUCAUUGCAUCUGUCUGACUGUGUUCUUCUGCCUAUUGAUACCUCUCGCAUCUUAAAAUUAAAGGUGUGUUUGAGUCCCUCAAGAGAGCCCCAAAGAAUGCUAAUGUUGACACAGAAUAUAAAAUUGCGCAUGAUUUUGAACAAUCCAUUUUUCUCUCCCAUGAGGGAAUUCUCUAGGGGUUCCAUCACAGCCUGCAGACUAAGAGCCUCUAGUUUAGAAACGCCAAACCCACAAAAAAGAGAAUACCAGAAAAUACACAAGAAGCAUAGCCUCAAGUAUGAAGCUAUGUUGCAGGGAACUACUAGAAAUUUGCAUGGGUCUCCAAGUGAGAACCCAAUGUUCACAGCUGCUUUAUUAGACAUUUUUUUCUCAGCGUGUUGACUAUACUUAGCAUUAAAAUAAGAAUCGUGUCUAUUUGUACUGCAAUUAGCUUUAACCAUUUUGUCAUUUUUAAUCACUGGCAUGUGUUUCUUUGUCAUCCGUUUCAACUUCUACAAUUGGUGAAUUUUCCUUCCAACUUCUUGCUUUACAUGAUGAAGUUUGACAUAACAUCUGUGCUUGAAUUCAUUUCUCAUUAUUAUAGUAUUGAGAUGCUUUUUGUUUUUGUUUUGGCUGGCAGCUGUUAAUUUAGUCCUUGUUAGUGAUUGAUCCAAUUAGAAUUUCUACUGAACACAUUCUCCCCUUAUAAUUCGAUCAUGGAUCUGUUAUGUUUGAAUUCUAAAAAUUAUUUGAUCAUACUAUUAUUAUUCACACUUCAAAGCCAAACCAUCUGACAAACGCUAUAAUCUGUUUAUAUAAUGGACUGUGAUUUCAGUUUACAUUGGUUGUUUCUUGCAAACUAGCCAGGUGGCAGUCAGUUGGGUUUGACAUAUCUGAAGAAAUACCUACGGUUAGUCUCGAGAAGGCAUCGCAUCAUAAACUAUCUAUUUGCGUUGUGAGCGAAUAGAACUUAAGAGUAGCAAUUAUUCGAUCGAAGUUAAUCUUGAUUUCGAUAGUUACUUCGAGAAAGUUAGUUUCUAUCAGGUUGUUACGUUUUACUAUUUUGUGAAACCAUUUCCAAAUGGUUCUAAUCAGUAAUUCUUUAAUAACCGUAUUGGGGGAUUGAAGAUGCCUGCAGGGGGAGCCCACACUGAAGCUGACGUGGCUGCAUCGUGGGAGAACCAGCAUCGGAAAGCUUUCUGACACGGACCGGUCAAGAAGAUGGCAAAGGGAAUCAAGAAACAAGAAAUAUAAGGAAAGGCAACACCAGAUCGCCGGUCCUCCUUCGUUGCGGGUUACAUCCAAGGAGCGCCGACGAUGGAUCAGUCCCCCAAGAAAGACGUGGCCAGGUCGCCCGACUCCCAUGCCGCCUCUCAGGCAGGAGAUCUCCCCUCAACCACUGCGGGCCGCGUCCAAGGAGUGUCGGGGGAUCCGUCUCCCAAGAGAGACGUGGUCAUGUAGCAGGACGUCCGUGUUACGCCCCAGGCACCGAGUGCCACCCCGUCCAUCACUGUAGAGCACAUCCAAAGAGCGCCGGGGUUUCAGUCUCCCAAGAAAGAGGUGGCGAAGCCGGACCUCCCCGUCAUGUCGCAGGCAGGGACUGCCCCCUCGACUGCUGCCGACUGUAUCCAAGGAGCGUCGGGUAAUCAGUCCAGCCAUAAGAAAGAUGGCACCGGACCGCCGGACAUCCUCGGCACCUUCACUGGCGGAGCCGGCCCCCUCGAUCUCUGCGGAUUGCACCCAAAGGAGCGUCGGGAGAUCAAUCUUCCACGAAAGACAAUUCCAGGCCGUCGGACCUCCCUGGCACCUCCCAGGCGGUGACUGCCCCCUCGACCUGUGCGGAUUGCACCCAAGGAGCGUCGGGAGAUCAGUCUUCCAAGAAAGCCGAUUCCAGGCCAUCGGAUCUCCCUGGCACCUCUCAGACGGCGACUGCCCCCUCGACCUGUGCGGACUGCACCCAAGGAGCGUCGGGAGAUUAGGAUUCCAAGAAAGACGAUUUCAGGCCAUCGGAUCUCCCUGGCACCUCUCAGGCAGCGACUGCCCCCUCGACCUGUGCGGACUGCACCCAAGGAGAUUACGUAGAUGUUGAUGAUUCGCAGAUGUGCAUACCUUACGUGUCUGAUAUCUAUGGUUACCUCAGAUCAAGGGAGGUGAAGCUGAGGCCAUUAAUGAACUACUUGGAGGCAGUUCAGAUCGGAAUCACAGCCACGAUGAGGAACUACUUCCGUCUGCGCUAAGAUAUCCUUUGCCUUGCUGUCUCUUACGUUGAUAGAUCCCUUUCCUCAUUCACCGUUAUAGGACCUCGUCUUCAACUGCUUGGGGCUUCUGCCAUUUGCGUUGCAUGGAAUGUUAUUUGUCUCAAGAUCCUCUCUCUCUCUCUCUCUCACUCACUUUUUCUUUCCCCCUUGAAUAUCUUUUGCUGCGUCAUUUGGUCAUCUUGUUGAUGGAACUUGUUGCAUGGGGUUCCACCAAUGCAUGCAGGAAGUACGCAGAGCAGAAAAACCCUGGGAUGAAACACAUGUGCCAUAUAGCUCAUGAUGUUUACCGGAAGGACGAAGUGUUGAACAUGGAGAUCAGCAUUCUAAGACAUAUGAGAUUUGAUAUGGGCAGUCCCACGGUCAAGACAUUUCUCGGAUGCCCUUUCUCGAGUCCUUAUAGUGUCAUGAGAUUUUGCGCAGCGUUAAGCGUCUGGUGAAUUCUCUUCUCUUAUAACUUUGAUCGCUAAUUAAAUUUGCUAUAUUGUGGUUAUAGGAGAUUCACACAGGCUGGUAGAGACGAUGGCAAAUACUUGUAUGCGAACUUAGAAUUCCUGGCGAGCUACUUUGGAGAGUUGACUCUAAUGGACUAUGGCUGUCUUUGGUUCUUGGCAUCGGUAGUUGCAGCUUCUGCUGUUUUCGUUGCUAGAUUCACGCUCGAUCCGAGAAGUCAUCCCUGGGUAAGACACUUUCAGUUUACUCAAAGUGUCGUGCGUUUUGCUGGAUGCCAAAACUUGAAACCGUGCACUCGUUAUUAUGUGAUUGAUCUCAAGUUUGCAUGUCAUGAUUUGCAUUUGAACGAGGAAACAUCCCACUAUAUGGGCAACAGAUACUGUCGCGACGAAGUUUUAUCUUUCAUACAGAACUACAUCUAUAUAUGUUGACAGGUUAUUCUAACCCAGGGUAGUUUCCCUGAGAAGGCUGAAUGAGAUGUUAUUGUGGGUUGCCAA